GGUGCAUAUUGGAAGGACCUGCAUGAAAGGUACAAGCUUCUGUCUUUCUGCUAACAGCUCUGUCAAGUACUGACUACAGGAACAUAAAGAACACCACCAACAACAAAUAUACUUAACAAAUUAAAAUAGUUGAUUAAACAAACCAAAGCUAACAUAAAUUUCAUGGUUAGAAAGUAUUCAGAAAAGGCAAACCUUUCAACAUCUGAAUCGGUCCUUACAAUUGGAGAGACCGCUCUUGCUGGUGAAAAGUUCAAAUUCUGUGUGUAUAAGCUAGACAUAACUUGCAUGCUACGAGGGUCUGAAAUUUUGCUUGGAAAAAGUUAACCUAAACAAGAAAAAGAUCAAAAAAGAAGAAUCCAAAGCCAAGAAGUUUAUGGGAAAGAAGGGAAAUACUAAUUAAAAGGGGACAAAACAUGAAGAGUCUGGUCAGAGGAGAAAUUGGAAGAAAUCAAUAAAUACUACUACUAGUAGUACUAGUUGUCUGG
rnacentral:lncRNA from 1 species